rnacentral:rRNA from 1 species
UGCCAGCCGCCGCGGUAAUACGGAGGGUACGAGCGUUGUUCGGAAUUACUGGGUUUAAAGGGUACGUAGGCGGCGAAUUAAGUCAGUGGUGAAAUCUCGGGGCUCAACCCCGAAACUGCCAUUGAUACUGAUAAACUUGAGUUCAGUUGGAGUAGGCGGAAUGUGUAGUGUAGCGGUGAAAUGCUUAGAUAUUACACAGAACACCGAUAGCGAAGGCAGCUUACUAAACUGAUACUGACGCUGAGGCACGAAAGCGUGGGGAGCGAACAGGAUUAGAUA